rnacentral:rRNA from 1 species
UACGUAGGGGGCAAGCGUUGUCCGGAAUCAUUGGGCGUAAAGAGCGUGUAGGCGGUUCGGUAAGUCGGCUGUGAAAGUCCAGGGCUCAACCCUGGGAUGCCGGUCGAUACUGCCGGACUAGAGUUCGGAAGAGGCGAGUGGAAUUCCCGGUGUAGCGGUGAAAUGCGCAGAUAUCGGGAGGAACACCUAUGGCGAAGGCAGCUCGCUGGGACGUUACUGACGCUGAGACGCGAAAGACGUGGGGAGGCAAACAAGG